AACGAACGCUGGCGGCAUGCCUAACACAUGCAAGUCGAACGAGACCUUCGGGUCUAGUGGCGCACGGGUGCGUAACGCGUGGGAAUCUACCCUUAGGUUCGGAAUAACUCAGGGAAACUUGAGCUAAUACCGGAUGAUGACUUCGGUCCAAAGAUUUAUCGCCUAAGGAUGAGCCCGCGUAGGAUUAGCUAGUUGGUGAGGUAAAGGCUCACCAAGGCUACGAUCCUUAGCUGGCUGAGAGGAUGAUCAGCCACACUGGGACUGAGACACGGCCCAGACUCCUACGGGAGGCAGCAGUGGGGAAUAUUGGACAAUGGCGAAAGCCUGAUCCAGCAAUGCCGCGUGAGUGAUGAAGGCCUUAGGGUUGUAAAGCUCUUUUACCCGGGAUGAUAAUGACAGUACCGGAGAAUAAGCUCC
rnacentral:rRNA from 1 species